CAUGCUAUUGUGAUUUAUCCAUUUUGAAGAAAAAAGAAAACAACAAACCCCACAACUUGCAUAGGUGCUCUCCUCUGCUGAUGAAAGUUGGAAAAGUGGGGGCCAUUAAACUAAGCUGCCAACUUCAGAAAUCAGUAAAGCCUCAUGGAAUAGCAAGAUAUUGCCAUCAAUCUUUUUGCACUAAUAAACCUCUUGGUUGACAGAAAACAUUAUUGACAUUGAUGAGGACCUGUUUUCAUUAUUCGGUUCUGCAUCAUCUUCAAUUUCAUCCUCGUCUUCAAUAGGAAUGUCUUCACUGUAAUCAUCUAAUGAACCAACAGGAAAAACGAUGUCACCUUAAGAAAUUUUAAUGGAUUUAGCUCAAUCAACCUAUAUGAGGCAAAUUUAUAGCAUUAUGUAUGAUAUGCACAGAUGCUCAAAACAUUAGGCGCAUUCUAUGUUCUACCUUGAUUGAAAGCAAAUGAUCAAUUAUCUAUCCUAUUAAGCUAUAUGAGAGAGCAUCAGCACCAUAUUAAACACGAGAAGCAAAAGGUAUUCCUAGAAUCAUGUAUACUCUAGGUUUGACUGCAUCACAACGAAGAUUAACUAAAAGCCGCCAAGAACUGUGUAACGGGACAAUGCAUCAAAACUGAGUGGGCAAGGUAAAUAGAAAACUCUUUACCUUUUCGAGGCAAUGAAGCAGGAGUAUCCCUGGCGUCUGAUGCAUUAUCAAGAACAUAAGGAAGAUCUAGCAAUUCCAAGAAAGAUACAGUCUGAGGA
rnacentral:lncRNA from 1 species